AGCUCAGAGAUGGAUCAAAUGGAUGUGACAUCUGUCACCAUAUUGAUCAGCAGGGUUGACGCAUCUGGCCUUGCUGGCUAGGCAGGUGUCCCCUUCCUCGCUUACCGCUGUGCACAGUCCCCCUGAUGCUGUGUGAUCAUUAAAGAGGGUGGCCUUCCCCAGUCACAGGAGGACCGAUCUUCUGGCAAGGGCAUGUGAGCAGCUGACCCACUGCUAGAACCUCCAAACCAGCUCUCAGGAAAUUAAUCAGCCCUAGGAAGGCAGGAUUCUGAGGAGGAAGCAGAUAAUGCCAUUCAUAUCCCAGAGCCUAUGAAAAGCUCAGUUGUCUG
rnacentral:snRNA from 1 species